UACGGAGGAUGCGAGCGUUAUCCGGAUUUAUUGGGUUUAAAGGGUGCGUAGGCGGACUGUCAAGUCAGCGGUAAAAUUGAGAAGCUCAACCUCUUCCCGCCGUUGAAACUGGUGGUCUUGAGUGGAUGAGAAGUACGCGGAAUGCGUGGUGUAGCGGUGAAAUGCAUAGAUAUCACGCAGAACUCCGAUUGCGAAGGCAGCGUACCGGCAUCCAACUGACGCUGAGGCACGAAAGCGUGGGGAUCAAACAGG
rnacentral:rRNA from 1 species